CCUACGGGAGGCAGCAGUGGGAAAUAUUGGGCAAUGGACGCAAGUCUGACCCAGCGACGCCGCGUGAGGGAUGAAGGCCUUCGGGUUGUAAACCUCUUUCAGUGGGGAAGAAGCGAAAGUGACGGUACCCAAAGAAGAAGCACCGGCUAACUAUGUGCCAGCAGCCGCGGUAAUACAUAGGGUGCAAGCGUUGUCCGGAAUUAUUGGGCGUAAAGAGCUCGUAGGUCGUUGGACACGUCGGAUGUGAAAAUCUGAGGCUUAACCUCAGACCUGCAUUCGAUACGGUCUAACUAGAGUGUGGUAGGGGAGACUGGAAUUCCUGGUGUAGCGGUGGAAUGCGCAGAUAUCAGGAGGAACACCAAUGGCGAAGGCAGGUCUCUGGGCCAUUACUGACACUGAGGAGCGAAAGCGCGGGGAGCGAACAGGAUUAGAUACCCUGGUAGUCCGCGCCGUAAACGGUGGGCACUAGUUGUGGGAACCUUCCACGGAUUCCGCGACGCAGCUAACACAAUAAGUAUCCCACCUGGGGAGUACGGCCGCAAGGUUGAAACUCAAAGGAAUUGACGG
rnacentral:rRNA from 1 species